GUGAGGAAUAUUGGUCAAUGGGCGGAAGCCUGAACCAGCCAUGCCGCGUGAAGGACGAAGGCGUUCUGCGUUGUAAACUUCUUUUAUAAGGGAAGAAACCUGCGAUAUCUAUUACAGCCGACGGUACCUUAUGAAUAAGCACCGGCUAACUCCGUGCCAGCAGCCGCGGUAAUACGGAGGGUGCAAGCGUUAUCCGGAUUCACUGGGUUUAAAGGGUGUGUAGGCGGGCUUGUAAGUCAGGGGUGAAAUCCUACAGCUUAACUGUAGAACUGCCUUUGAUACUAUAGGUCUUGAAUAUUGUUGAGGUGGGCGGAAUACAUCAUGUAGCGGUGAAAUGCUUAGAUAUGAUGUAGAACACCGAUUGCGAAGGCAGCUCACUAAGCAAAUAUUGACGCUGAGGCACGAAAGCGUGGGGAUCAAACAGGAUUAGAAACCCGAGUAGUCC
rnacentral:rRNA from 1 species